GCGUUUGUGGUUUAGUGGUAAAAUUGAUCGUUGCCAUUCGCUGGGUCUUCCCAGUAAACUGACUCGAUCAGCCCCGGGUUCGAUUCCCGGCGGACGCA